rnacentral:rRNA from 1 species
CCCCGGUAAACGGCGGCCGUAACUAUAACGGUCCUAAGGUAGCGAAAUUCCUUGUCGGGUAAGUUCCGACCUGCACGAAUGGCGUAAUGAUGGCCAGGCUGUCUCCACCCGAGACUCAGUGAAAUUGAACUCGCUGUGAAGAUGCAGUGUACCCGCGGCAAGACGGAAAGACCCCGUGAACCUUUACUAUAGCUUGACACUGAACAUUGAGCCUUGAUGUGUAGGAUAGGUGGGAGGCUUUGAAGUGUGGACGCCAGUCUGCAUGGAGCCGACCUUGAAAUACCACCCUUUAAUGUUUGAUGUUCUAACGUGGACCCGUAAUCCGGGUUGCGGACAGUGUCUGGUGGGUAGUUUGACUGGGGCGGUCUCCUCCUAAAGAGUAACGGAGGAGCACGAAGGUUGGCUAAUCCUGGUCGGACAUCAGGAGGUUAGUGCAAUGGCAUAAGCCAGCUUGACUGCGAGCGUGACGGCGCGAGCAGGUGCGAAAGCAGGUCAUAGUGAUCCGGUGGUUCUGAAUGGAAGGGCCAUCGCUCAACGGAUAAAAGGUACUCCGGGGAUAACAGGCUGAUACCGCCCAAGAGUUCAUAU